UCUACUUUCAGGACAAGUCUAUCAUUGUGCAGGGGCCUCAGCUUCCUGUGUUGGAAAUGAGUUAAUGUAGUCACACUAUGACACGCUAUUUUUAUUCCUUACCCAGAUCAGCCAUAUUCUAACAAUACAUUUCAAAGUACUGCUGACGGAGGCUCCACCUGAAACCUGUUCUCUCAGAUAAGUAUCUUCAUCCCAUUCAUCGUUUCAAGAAAAAUAAAUAAAUAAAUCUUACAGCACGGCAGCAUUUUCAUCUGCUUUGGUUUCAGCCAGAGAUAAACUGUUCCUGCUGCAAAGUAAUUACUAUCAGUCGCCUGGAAAGCAGAAAUUGGGAGACAACAGGCUCCUCUUUCUUGAUAAACAGAUUGUUGGGUAAGGUUUCCUUUGGGAGGGGAAGGAAUAACCUUGAAGAGAGGUGAGAAUUGUCAUGGAUUUUGUGUGACUUGUUACUCAAGAUGACUCAUUAAGCUGCCAAGAGCCUCACAGCCCAUCCAAACUUCUCAAACAACUCCUUCAAUUCCAGCCCUUGACCUGAUCUAUGUAGAGGGUUGGAAAAUUCACAGCAAUACAAAGCUAUGGAAACAGACUGUCAUCCACAUAUAUGUUGGGUGAUGGGGGAGACAUGAAGAGUGAGAGACUGUGGAGACAGGAAAGUAGCAACAUUUGCCAUGAGAUUUUCCUCGAAACCAUCUCCUUCUUGAAUUUAGACACUCAUUGUUUAUGUGCAGUGGCCCUAGGUACAGAACGGUCACCACCCCAAGGAGAACUAUACCCUCCAGACUCAUAAACCAAAUUCUAGCCAGAUUCUCCCAGAAUAAAAUACUACAGUUCAUCCAUUAAGCUAAAUCUCCUUUCAACAAUUCCCUUCUUACCUGGCCCAUGAAAUGAAUCAUGAAGAGAUUAUUUUCUGGGCAAAUUGGUAGAAAAAUCCUGAUGCAGACAGUUCCCCUUCUGAUUGCACCUGACUUCCAUUCACUGACUAUCACAUCAAGUAGUGGUUCUGGGAAUUCAAAGGAGAGCUCAGCAAAAGAAGAAGAAAAAACAGCCCACAAAGUUUUUCAAGGUACCUACUGCAGUUAUCAGUUCAUAGAUCUAAAUGUUCGCACUGUAUGCUUGAUUUGCACAUUCCAAACCAAUUUGGUAAUUUUUUUCAUUUUUAUCUACACGCAUGAAGUGAUUCGGAAUACUGAUACAAUUUAGAAUCAUAUUUCGUUUGCAACAGUUCAAUUAACUUAAGUGCUGGAACAUGCUCUCCAACUGGUAACUAGUUUAAUUGGUUACUAUUACAAGAAAUAAAUUCUAUAGUCCUGGGGCCUCCCAGUGUCCUUUCUAGACAGGGCCCGGCCAUGCAGAGGUAUGUGGGAGUGGGAAGGCGAGGAGUGUAGCAAAAUUUCUUACUUAAAAAAGAAAAAUCCAAGAACCCAUUCUCUUAAAAAAAAAUAACUAGGUAUGAGUUUCCAUUUUCUGCUGUGAUUUUAUGACCUCCAGUUCCCUUGGAUCAACUUUACAACCACUCAAUAAGCAAGAGAAGGGUGUGGAUCAAGGGUCGAAGACUUUUAAAGCUAUUGCAUAAAUGCACUUAAGCAUGAGCCAAAGUGAUAAAUAGGAAACCAAGACGCAUGUCAGGAAUGCAGCGAAGAAUGAGUAGCUGGGACACUUUGAGCAGCUGUUAAGGCAACUCCAAACCCCUGGAAAGAAGGAUUUCCUUCUGGCUUACACCAAGGCUCAAUUGCUCUAGUUGCAUUUGCAUUGAAAGGCACUACUGCCAAAUUGUACAAGAACACUUAUAGUAGAAAAACAUGUAAAUUGUCAAAAGAUACAAAAUAAUACUGCAUCUCAUUUGUGGAUAUAUGGAAAUGUAGUUAAAGAGAAAAAGUGAGUAGGCAUAACACAUACUAACUAUUGGGGAGAGAAUGCUACUGAGGAAGAAAGGAGAAUAAAGGGAUAGGUAUGUGAUUUAAGUGCAAUCUUAAGCAUAUUGAAUAAAAUAUUAACAUCUCAUAAAUCUGGGUAUUAGAUACAUGGGGCUCAAUUCUAUUAUCUUAUGCACUUUCAUGUUUAUUUGAAAUGAUUUCUAAUUAAAAGUUAGAAACACUCAAAAAAAGAAUCAGUCCCUGUUUCGCAGCCAUUGGCAAACCAGUCAUUUCUCAAAAAAUUCUUCUGUCUUAAGAUCACAAACUCUGGAGGCGUCACGCUACCUGACUUCAAACUAUACUACAAGGCUACAGUAACCAAAGCAGCAUGGUACUGGUACCAAAACAGAGAUAUAGAUCAAUGGAACAGAACAGAGCCCUCAGAAAUAAUGCCGCAUAUCUACAACUAUCAUCUGAUCUUUGACAAACCUGAGAAAAACAAGCAAUGGGGAAAGGAUUC
rnacentral:lncRNA from 1 species